CAGCCGCCGCGGUAAUACGUAGGUGACAAGCGUUGUCCGGAAUUAUUGGGCGUAAAGGGAGCGCAGGCGGUUGGAAUAGUCUGAUGUGAAAGCCCACGGCUUAACCGUGGAAUUGCAUUGGAAACUGUCCAACUUGAAUGCAGAAGAGGAAAGCGGAAUUCCAUGUGUAGCGGUGAAAUGCGUAGAUAUAUGGAGGAACACCAGUGGCGAAGGCGACUCUCUGGUCUGUAACUGACGCUGAGGAGCGAAAGCGUGGGGAGCGAACAGGAUUAGAGACCCCAGUAGUCCCUGUCUCUUAUAC
rnacentral:rRNA from 1 species